rnacentral:misc_RNA from 1 species
GAUGAAGAACGCAGCGAAAUGCGAUAAGUAAUGUGAAUUGCAGAAUUCGGUGAAUCAUCGAAUCUUUGAACGCAUCUUGCGCUCCUUGGUAUUCUGAGGAGCAUGCCUGUUUGAGUGUCAUUAAAUUCUCAACCGCACUGACUUUGAAUUGGUGUGGCUUGGAUUUGGGGGGAAAAUUGUUGUGGGCUUUUUUGUAUAGUCUGCUCCCCUGAAAUUGAUUAGCGGUACCUUUGUGGAACUGUCUACAGGUGUGAUAAUUAUCUACAUCCUAGACAUCUGCUGGAAUGCUGCUUUCUAAACCUUACUUGUAUUGACAAUCUUGACCUCAAAUCAGGUAGGACUACCCGCUGAACUUAAGCAUAUCAAUAAGCGGAGGA